rnacentral:rRNA from 1 species
GACGAACGCUGGCGGCGUGCUUAACACAUGCAAGUCGAACGGAAAGGCCCGGCUUUUGUGGGGUGGUCGAUUGGCGAACGGGUGAGUAACACGUGAGUAACCUGCCCUUGACUUUGGGAUAACUUCAGGAAACUGGGGCUAAUACCGGGUAGGAUCUCCUGCUGCGUGGGGGGGGUUGGAAAAUGUCGGCGGUUGGGGAUGGUCUAGCGGCUUAUCAGCUGGAUGGUGGGGUAGUUGCUGACCAGGGCUUUGACGGGUAGCCGGCCUGGGAGCGUGACCGGCCACCUUGGGCCUGCGAUACGGCCCAGACUCCUACGGUAGGCAGCAGUCGGGAACAUUGCACAAUGGGCGCAAGCCUGAUGCAGCAGCCCCGCGUGCGGGAUGCCGGCCUUCUGGUUGUAAACCGCUUUCGCAUGUGCCGAACCGUGCGUGACGGUAAUGGGUCAAGAAGCCCCGGCUAACUACGUG